AUGGAUAAUAGAUUGUUUAAAGCUAUCUACUGUCAGUAAAGCGGCUCUUGGUUUAUUUAACGAGUUAAAUACACUAAAAAUUACCAAGAGUGGUUUGGUUAAAGUGCCUGAUUUUUCUAUGUUUGAGACCAAAUCCAAAGAACACAAUGGUACCAUGUACGAAAUAGAUCUGUCGUCAAAUAAAAUAAAAGUAAUCGAAUCGAGGACAU